GCUGGAUGAAUGUAAUCAGUUGAAGAAAAAAGCUCAUGGUCCACAAUGAAAUCCAAUGGCUGCAGUCACAGAAAGUUCAGGCCAGAUUAGGGGGCCACAUCCCGGCGGGGCGGUCUGGCUUGGCCUCUGGAGGGGGCCCUGGCUUUAAAGAACCGAAGCUCGUGGCGCAGGCGGCAUCAGCAUCUGGGGCGCCCGGGGGGGCUAGGUUGGGGUACCUGGGGACCGGCGGGGGGACCCCCAGCGGCCCCCUGGUGCCUUAUGCGGCUUGGGGUGUGGUCGUUCGCCCUGGGCGGGCUGCUCCUGGUGCUGCAUCCAUUCCGGGUCCUCCUGGCCUGGGGUCGGGUCCCUGCUGGCUCUGGGCUCACCGGCGGGUGCCCGCCGGCUGCCCGUUCGGCGUGGCUCUGGUCGUCUGCUGGGCGUGGGCUUUGGCUCCUCCGCUGGGGUCUCGGGCGGGGAGCUCUCUGGGCCCUCCCCUCGGGGGGCUGGGCGCGGGGGUGUGGGUGGUGGUGGGGGGGUGGGGGGCUGGGGGGCCUGCGGGUUGGGGGUUGGAGUCGGUGGCGUGGUGCGCUGGGUCCUUGGCUCCUUGGGGGCUUUUCGGGUGUGUAUGGGGGGGGCAAUGGCAGCCUCUCGGCUUGGGACCUUGGGGGCGUUCGGAUGGCUGCUUGGCCGUGGGGUGGUCGCCGGGGGCCCCUAGAUCUCUCGCUCUUUCUGCUGGCCCGACUGCUUCUUCGGGCCCGGGGGCGGCUCAUGGGUUUUGCAGUAGCGGCUCUUGGAAUCACAUUUGUCAUGGACGCACUGGCCUCGGGCUGUGGGAUAACACUCAUACUGGGCUCAACCAUAGACACGUUGUUCCCAAAUACCUGUUUUAUGUAACUUCCACUCACUUCCUCCUCUGCUCACAGCCACCACCAUUAUUCCUAAGCCGCACACUGGUCACCAAACUGGCUUGAUAACACAACAAUAAGCACAAUAUACACAACCACAAUUUCACAUCACAUCACUUGAAACUUAUUGACUAUUCCCCACCCAUUCGUU
rnacentral:lncRNA from 1 species